rnacentral:rRNA from 1 species
GAUUGAACGCUGGCGGCAUGCUUUACACAUGCAAGUCGAACGGUAACAGGCCUUCGGGUGCUGACGAGUGGCGAACGGGUGAGUAAUGCAUCGGAACGUGCCCAGAGGUGGGGGAUAACGCAGCGAAAGCUGUGCUAAUACCGCAUGUGAUCUGAGGAUGAAAGCGGGGGACCAAGCAGCAAUGUUUGGCCUCGCGCCUCUGGAGCGGCCGAUGUCAGCUUAGGUAGUUGGUGGGGUAAAGGCCUACCAAGCCGACGAUCUGUAGCUGGUCUGAGAGGACGACCAGCCACACUGGGACUGAGACACGGCCCAGACUCCUACGGGAGGCAGCAGUGGGGAAUUUUGGACAAUGGGCGCAAGCCUGAUCCAGCAAUGCCGCGUGCGGGAAGAAGGCCUUCGGGUUGUAAACCGCUUUUGUACGGAACGAAAAGGCUCUGGCUAAUACCUGGGGCUGAUGACGGUACCGGAAGAAUAAGCACCGGCUAACUACGUG